GGGGGCGUUGUGGCUUCGACAGAAGCUCUCGAAGGCAAUACGGCGUGCCGAGGUUCCGGUGGCCUCGUAAAACACCGGAAAAGCCAUAACUGGCAACACUCAGCGUUCUUACGCUCUCGCUGCUUAGUUCAGCGACGUUCCCAAGAAGCCCAGCCGAUGGCGUGCUUGGCGAACGACCUAAAGUCGGCUAGCCUCUGGCAAGGCCCCGUAGCCAAGAGCGAAAUUUAACGGAGCUUUUGGUAGAUAGCCCCUGUCGGUGGGGAACCUAUCCGCGACAUUCAAGCACCGACUAUGCACGUAGAUGUUUGCUGGACAGGUUUUUGGACAGGGGUUCGACACCCCUCGCCUCCACCA
rnacentral:tmRNA from 1 species